UACGGAGGGUGCAAGCGUUAUCCGGAUUCACUGGGUUUAAAGGGUGCGUAGGGGGGUUGGUAAGUCAGUGGUGAAAUCUCCGUGCUUAACAUGGAAACUGCCAUUGAUACUACUGAUCUUGAAUUUUCUGGAGGUAAGCGGAAUAUGUCAUGUAGCGGUGAAAUGCUUAGAUAUGACAUAGAACACCAAUUGCGAAGGCAGCUUGCUACAGGGAUAUUGACACUGAGGCACGAAAGCGUGGGGAUCAAACAGG
rnacentral:rRNA from 1 species